rnacentral:tRNA from 1 species
GUUAAUGUAGCUUAACAUAAAGCAAAGCACUGAAAAUGCUUAGAUGGAUAAAAAAUCCCAUAAACA